rnacentral:rRNA from 1 species
GAUGAACGCUGGCGGCGUGCCUAAUACAUGCAAGUCGAGCGAACGGACGAGAAGCUUGCUUCUCUGAUGUUAGCGGCGGACGGGUGAGUAACACGUGGAUAACCUACCUAUAAGACUGGGAUAACUUCGGGAAACCGGAGCUAAUACCGGAUAAUAUUUUGAACCGCAUGGUUCAAAAGUGAAAGACGGUCUUGCUGUCACUUAUAGAUGUAUCCGCGCUGCAUUAGCUAGUUGGUAAGGUAACGGCUUACCAAGGCAACGAUGCAUAGCCGACCUGAGAGGGUGAUCGGCCACACUGGAACUGAGACACGGUCCAGACUCCUACGGGAGGCAGCAGUAGGGAAUCUUCCGCAAUGGGCGAAAGCCUGACGGAGCAACGCCGCGUGAGUGAUGAAGGGCUUCGGAUCGUAAAACUCUGUUAUUAGGGAAGAACAUAUGUGUAAGUAACUGUGCACAUCUUGACGGUACCUAAUCAGAAAGCCACGGCUAACUACGUG